rnacentral:rRNA from 1 species
GGGUUAGUAGGUUGGUCAUGCCUCUGGUAUGUACUGGUCUCACUGAUUCCUCCUUCCUGAUGAACCUUAAUGCCAUUAAUUUAGUGUUUUGGGGAAUUUGGACUGUUACUUUGAAAAAAUUAGAGUGGUUAUAGCAAGCUAACGCUUGAAUACAUUAGCAUGGAAUAAUGAAAUAGGACGUUCGAUCCUAUUUUGUUGGUUUCUAGGAUUGACUUA